ACAAGGGCUAGAAGAGCAUAAUAAGAUUCUCCUCCAAUUUCACUGUGUAAUUGGCUCUUCCAAUGCAAAUUUCAGUGCAAACUGACUAAGGCUUUUUGCAUUAAAAGUAUUGGAAUCAACAGCACACUUCUUCAUCAUUGCAUUUUUUAGGCAGUCUUCAACCAUCAUCCCUUGAGCAUGCCCCAUGCUUCUUCCUGGACAUACUGUUGCAAAUGGCAUCUGGUUCUGAGUUUCCAGAUACUUGGGCUGAGAAAGACACCAGAGUGGGAGCAUGAAGCUAUGUGAGGCAGGACGGGGUUGCCGUGGUUAACCUUUGCUGUCAGAUUGACUGGAUUCAGAAUCAUGAAGGAGACAAACCUCUGAGUGUACCUAUGAGGGCCUUCCCAGGGUUAAGUGAAAAGGGAAGAAUGUGAGCUGGGGUCCCAGACUGAACGAAAAAAGGAAAAAGGAGAAAUUGAGCUAAGUACCAGCUUUUACUUUUCUCUCCUCUAUUGAAGAUGCAAUGGGACUUGUCCCUCCAUGCUCUUGCCACAUCUGUGAUAGAUAGCAUCAAAGCCAGAGCCAAAGCAAACUCUUUCUCCGUAAGCUACUGUGCACGCCUCUGUGCAUGUGUGUGUGUGUGUGUGUGCAUGUGUGUUGUGUGUGCACAUAUAUGUGUAUGUGUAUGUCUGUGGUGUUGUUUGUGCAUGUGUGUUGUGUGUGCAUAUGUUUACAUGUGUGUUCAUGUGUAUACACAUGUGUGUGCAUGUGUGUGUGUGUGUGUGUGUGUAAGAGAGAGAGAGAGAGAAAGAGAGAGCGCAAUAGGGUGGAGAAGAGAUGGUGGGUGGGGAGCACAGGUUUAAGUUUCUCCUCACUCCCCAUGCCCAGUGAGCAGUCAGGAUAUAGACAUGGUCCUGCAUCCCUGGAGUUGCCUGCAGUGACUCUUCAGACCUGGAAGCUUAGUGAAAAUGGUGGGCAGAGCUAGUGAGGAAAGUUGUAUCCACUGCUAAGUGUGGGCACAACUGGCAAGAGGAACCGUUGCCCACUGCCUUCAACAGCAGCUCGCUGUAGAGAAGCAUUUAGGGGAAGGCCAACCUUUCCGUCCCAGCUGCAGAGGCUGUGUGCUGACUAUUCAUCAGCUGGAUGGCACCAUGUUGCUGCCAAGGCAUUGGAACCAGCUUGAGUUGGGAAAACAUUUUCAAUAUUUCAACUGAUUGCUUCAGCAAGUCACAAAUAACACAGCUAAUCCGUGAGGUCACUCACUCACAAAAAUCUAUUUGCUCUGCUUGAGAGCAAAAUGAAAAUAUAUAUAUAUUAUAAGCAAUACUGCCAGAAACAGACCUGCUCCACCAUCUCAUCCCUGGCAGAGGAAACCAUUCUUCCCUCACCCAAAGCCAUCCAAGAGGACCCCCAGAGGCUAUUUAUGCAUGUAGACACCCUCACUGGCAAGGAGUGUUUGCUGUAAAAUUGGGUCUAAACUGCAUUUCGAUAAAGGCUUGUAGAUAAAGUAUCAUUCCAAGGUUCUAAUUCUACCCCAACGUUUUGUACCAUGCAUCAGAGCUGCAGCCUCACCAGGAGGCUAAGCAUGCAGCCGUGUAAUGGGGUUAGGGUAUCCCAACCAGCAAUGAAUUACUGCGACAAGAUUGAAGAUAUCAUAGGUUGUAUGUCAGGACGGGGCGGGGCAAGGUGCUAUGGAGCCAUUUGGAGACAUACAGAGCACACGGAUCUGCCCAGCGAGCUCUGAAUAGAAGUGAGUUGAUCACACUGAGCAUCAUGUCACGCCAUAGCCACCUGGGAAACGACAGAACAGUAGCCCCUGAGCCUCAGGUUCCAAUCCGAAGCAUUCUAAGAUCUGCUCAACUUGUCUGGGGUUCACAGAGAUGCUGUAAUGGUUUCUAUAUGCUCAGCCCAGGGAGUGGCACUAUUUGAAAGUGUGCCUUGUCGGAGUGGGUGUGGCCUUGUUGGAGUGGGUGUGGCCUUGUUGGAGUAGGUGUGGCCUUGUUGGAGUAGGUGUAUCACUGUGGGCGUGGGCUUUAAGACCCUACUCCUAGCUGCCUGGAAAUCAGUCUUCUGCUAGCAGCCUUCAGAUGAAGAUGUAGAACUCUCAGCUCCUCCUGAACCAUGCCUGCCUGGACUCUGCCAUGCUCUCCUGACUUGAUGAUAAUGGACUGAACCUCUGAACCUGUAAGUCAGUCCCAAUUAGAGGUUAUCCUUUAUAAGACUUGCAUUGGUCAGUGUGUCUGUUCACAGCAGUAAAGCCCCGAGACAGAUGCCUUCAAAGCUCUGCUCUUACGUUCUCAGUGAGCUGACUUGGCUUUGGUGGGCAUUGAGUAAUGAGCCAGAGUUUCCAGGAGACUCUGGCACAGUGAGUGAUGAUGGCCCCCCUACUCCAUUCAUGUGUGCAACCCUGACCUUGCCACCAGGCACAAACUGGUUUAGGUUAGCUUUGGUUUUCUGUCACUGGGUUAGAACUGUUUCCCUUUCCUAUUUCUAUUUUCAAAGAGGAAAUUUUAUUUGGACAUUCACAAAAGAACUUGUAAGGACGUGUCUUUAGAAUCUCUUCUACGCUCCAUCCAGUUUCCCAAAGGUUAGCUAACACCUCAUAUGCUUCACUCUGCGUUUUUUAUUUUUAAACAUGUGUAACUUUGUUACUCUGAACCACUUAGACAAGGUUCGACCUGUAAGUAUAUCAACAUUCAUUCCUGAAAAACAAAAAUUCUCAUACACUAUCAGGCAGAUGUUAAAACCAGGUAGUAACACUGACUUUGUAAUAACAUAAACUUAAGAGUCUGUGCAGUUCACCUCCCUGUCCCACUGUUGUUUUGUAAUAAAACGAAAAUUCAGGCUAAGACUGUAGGUGACUGCCUACUUCAAUUUAAAAAUUACUUUAAAAACAGCCAGAUGCACACUUAUGUGGGGUCCAACAUUGUGUGUAUGUGUACUCAUGCACAUGCAUGCACACAUGCAUGUGUGUAUAAAAGUGGGCGGGGACAAAAGGGACAGGGGAAGGGGAAGAGAUCGAUUAGCAGGAAUAAGCUGUCAUUUUCCAUGAUGUGGCUUCUGGGGGCCGAAUUCAGGUCCUCAGGCUUGACAGUGGGUAGUUUUACUCACCGGGCCAUCUCACUGGCACAAUUUAGAGAACUAUUUCUCAGAAUUGUUGCUUUCUGCUUCCUGCUUCCUUCUCCCUUCUCCUUUCUCCCUUCUCCUUUCUCCCUUCUCCUCCUCCUCCUUCUCCCUCUUUCUCUUCUUCCUCACAUGCUCACACGUUUACUCUGCUAUCACUGGCACAUAAACCAAUAGUCUGGAAAUGCACUUUAAGUUCCUGAAGCAUUGAGGGUUACUUCUAUGCAAAAUUGUACACGUUUAGUUUUACUUUUCUGAAGUCUGAAGUUGCUUGUGUUUCCCUCUCCUUUCUCCUCCUCCUUGCUUUUGAAGAGUCUUUGCAGGUGUGGCAGUCCUCAGCUUCUCCUGCCUGAGAACCUGGAAAACUCUUAAAUUCCUUCCACACUCCUGUUGAAGCUUCUUCCUAGCACCCAUGAGAUCAGCGCUGACUCCUGCAUUCCUCCUGUCCCCUGAGCUCCUCCUAUUCCUCAUGCUCCUCCUGUUCCUCCUGUCCCCUGUGCUCCUUCUGCCCCUCCUCCUUACAUUCCCCUACUUUCCCCAAUCACUCACUCUCCUCCUGUCCACUCUUACUCCACUUGUCUCCCACUAGGGUCCAGUCCCCUGUCCUCCUACCCACCCCUCACUCUUCUGAUCCCUCCACUCUUCCCUGCUAUACUCACGUCAUUCUCCUGUCUCCCCAACUCUCCUCUUACCCAGAGUCUCUUCUUCGGGCGUUCUGGAUGGUUGUCAUUUCUGGUGAUGAGGGAACCAGCUGCUGCCAUGUCAUCUUCUGGGAGUGGUGGCCCCUCCUCCAUGGCUGUUUGCCAGGUUGGAGUUUAGCAGUUUGUUUCUCUCUAUAUUGAUCCUGAAUGAGGCCCUCUGGGUUUCUUUUAUUCACUGAAAUAUUUUGACGGUGCGUGUGCGUGUGUGUGUAUGUGUGCCGGUGUGCGUGCACGUGCAGUGUGUUGCUCUAGUCUCUGGGAAGCAGGUGUGUCAGAGCACUUCACACCACCCCACUCACUUUGUUAGCUGUUCCUUUUCCUCCCCUUCCCCUCUGUUCUUGUGAUCUGGGUUCCUGUUCGAAGUCUCCCUCUGAGGUCUCCAGGCUGCUGUUUAGUUGAUCUAGUGUGUUUCACUGUACACAUGUUCUCUCUAAACUCGACUGGUGUUUUAUAUUUACUGCCAAGUUCUCCACACACCAGCCUCCUCUACUGUUUGUCCCUUUUAAGGUCCUGGGUCUAUGUCUAUUUAUCCACAGUUCAUUCUCUCUCUCUCUCUCUCUCUUUCUCUCUCUCUCUCUCCCUCCCUCCCUCUCUCUCUCUCUCCUUCCCCCUAGCUCUCUCAGUUUCCUUCCCCCUUCCCCUCUCCCCUUAAUGGAUUUAGUAACUUCUGACUGCAUGCUGGGAGUUUUGAAUGACGUAACCAGAAUCUGCAUAUAACAUGAUAAUUCCUUUUUAACUCGGGAAAAGCUAUGUUAUUAUUAUCUAUUCCAUUGGCAUCUGUGAGCUUUUAUGGGGGCGUUUAGUUGCUUUUACAGUAGGUGUUAGCAUGAUUUUGAUGUGGAUUCUCUGUAACCCCAAAUCAAAUUGUCUUGUUUGCUUUCUAUCACGACAAUAAAGGCCAUGGCCAGAAGCAGCUCUGCGGGAGGUUUAUUUGAUUUGCCUGACUAGAUCAUACAUAGUUCAUCACUUAAGGAAUUCAGGAUAGGGAAUGAAGGCAGGAACCUAGAGGCAGGAACUGAACCAGAGUCCUUGGAGGAAUGCUGAUUACUGGCUUGCUCAGUUUGCUUUUUUAAAAACCCCUGGAACAUCUGCCCAGAGAUGCUAUUGUCCACAUGCGUGUUCCCACAUCCAUUAAGAGAAUGUUGCACAGACAUGUCUACUGGCCAAUCUGCUAGAGACAGUUGCUCAAUUGAUAUUCCCUCUUUCAUGAUAUCUAGGUUGGUGUCACAGCACCCAGACCAGUCAAAUACCUCUCAUUAUAAUAAAUGCAAAGCAACUUAAUGUCUCAGCUCAACAUCUUCCCACAGUCUUUUCUCCAUAGACACUUACUUUUUUUUUUUAUCACCCAGCCUCAGUCCUGCUCCUAAAUGAAGGUUGCAGUUGCCAGGAAAGGGAACCUCACCUCAAGACAUUUAGAAAGACUGAGGUUGGCUCAGCUAAAUCUUUCUGAGUUCCCAGGUGAUGUGAGGCAGGAUCAUGAGACUGUGUUUCCAUCCAUAGGACUUCCCAAACCAGAGCCUGCUGCAGCUCCUCCCAGCUGGGGAGCCACCCUGCUUCUCUCUUCCAAACACUGCCCACCUGAACCUCUACCAUAGCGGCUGCUGAGAAACGCACUUCUGAGACCCUUUACUCUGAACUCAGUGCAGGUCUACAUAAAAGUCAGGGCACAUGAAACAGCACGUGAGACUCUUCAAAGGCUUCUGGCUCUCUUUGAAAUUUUCAGGUUUAUAGGAGUGAAGAAGUUCGGGUCACUCUCUGCUCCCACCUCUCCCUGUCUCACCCCCACUCUCAGCCUGGUCAUGCAGUUCUCUUGCUCACAGCAGGGAUUCUUCCAUGUCUGAUCUUCUUGCCCACAGUAGGGACUCUUCCAUGUCUGAUCUUGCACAUAUCUCCCUGUGGUUGAAGGCUGUCCCACUUUCCCCUCUCAUACCAGACCAAGAUCCAGGACUUGGACAGUCUCACUUCACCCUUCCAAACUCAGAUGAGGCUACUUUCUCCAGGAAGCCUUCCUGGGACUACCUCAGUGCCUUUUGAAGCUCCGGUAUGCUCUCUCUACCCCCAAGGGCCAUGCUUCCUGGUAAGUACUUUGCUGUGGGCCCCAGGCAUGAACAUCAGGAAUUUGGAACUAAAACAAUGGAUAAGGAAUGUUCAAAGCUAGUGAGUGGCAACAUUAGCUUUAGGAAACCAACCCCAGCCUAUUUAUCAGGAAAUGAAGAUGAAAUAUUUUUUUAGAGGGUUGGCUGGGUUUCUUCUUCACUAGGCCUGGGCACUGGAAAGAGCCAAUGCAGAGAAUCUGGAAGAAACACACAUGCUCAAGUUGGAGAGGACUGUGCUGGCUUGACCCUGAGGGGGAAGCCCACCUUAUGUGUGAGGCAUAAGGGAAUCAUCUGUUACUGCCUGCCCAAUGGCACUUUCUGAUGCUAGUAGUAGCCCUGUGACUUGAAAAGGAAGAAUCCAGUGCAGUUGGCCCUUUAUACCCAAGAGAAAAUGGUUUUAAAGUUACAUGGGAACUGGGGUGCAGCUCAGUGAGAGCACAUGUCAAGAAUGUGUAAAGCCCUGGGUUUCACACACACACACACACACACACACACACACACACACACACACACACAGAGAGAGAGAGAGAGAGAGAGAGAGAGAGAGAGAGAGAGAGAGAGAGAGAGAGAGAGAGA